rnacentral:rRNA from 1 species
GACGAACGCUGGCGGCGUGCUUAACACAUGCAAGUCGAACGGAAAGGCCCUGCUUUUGUGGGGUGCUCGAGUGGCGAACGGGUGAGUAACACGUGAGUAACCUGCCCUUGACUUUGGGAUAACUUCAGGAAACUGGGGCUAAUACCGGAUAGGAGCUCCUGCUGCAUGGUGGGGGUUGGAAAGUUUCGGCGGUUGGGGAUGGACUCGCGGCUUAUCAGCUUGUUGGUGGGGUAGUGGCUUACCAAGGCUUUGACGGGUAGCCGGCCUGAGAGGGUGACCGGCCACAUUGGGACUGAGGUACGGCCCAGACUCCUACGGGGGGCAGCAGUGGGGAAUAUUGCACAAUGGGCGGAAGCCUGAUGCAGCAACGCCGCGUGCGGGAUGACGGCCUUCGGGUUGGAAACCGCUUUCGCCUGUGACGAAGCGUGAGUGACGGUAAUGGGUAAAGAAGCACCGGCUAACUACGUG